GUCUCCACCAUGAACUCGGUGAAAUUGCAUUACGAGUAAAGAUGCUCGUUACGCGCAGCAGGACGGAAAGACCCCGGGACCUUUACUAUAGUUUGGUAUUGGUGAUUGGGACGGUUUGUGUAGGAUAGGUGGGAGACGUUGAUGCGGCCACGCUAGUGGUGGUGGAGUCGUUGGUGAAAUACCACUCUGAUUGUUCUGGUUAUCUCACUGUGGACCGUGAUCCGGUUCAAGGACAGUGCCUGAUGGGUAGUUUGACUGGGGCGGUCGCCUCCUAAAGGGUAACGGAGGCGCCCAAAGGUUCCCUCAGCCUGGUUGGUAAUCAGGUGGUGAGUGUAAGUGCACAAGGGGGCUUGACUGUGAGACUGACAGGUCGAGCAGGGACGAAAGUCGGGACUAGUGAUCUGACGGUGGCUUGUGGAUGCGCCGUCACUCAACGGAUAAAAGGUACCCCGGGGAUAACAGGCUGAUCUUGCCCGAGCGCUCAUAGCGACGGCAGGGUUUGGCACCUCGAUGUCGGCUCAUCGCAUCCUGGGGCUGGAGAAGGUCCCAAGGGUUGGGCUGUUCGCCCAUUAAAGCGGUACGUGAGCUGGGUUCAGAACGU
rnacentral:rRNA from 1 species